UGGGAGGGCAAGUCUGGUGCCAGCAGCCGCGGUAAUUCCAGCUCCAAUAGCGUAUAUUAAAGUUGUUGCAGUUAAAAAGCUCGUAGUUGAAUUUCGGGAUUCGUCGGUUGGUCGGGCUUCACUGUCCGCACUGACCUGACGGGUUCCUACCUUCUGAAUAACCAGCAUGCUAUUAAGUUAGUGCGUUGGGGAAGCAGAGCUAUUACCUUGAAAAAAUUAGAGUGCUUAAAGCAGGCUUGUGCUUGAAUAGAUUAGCAUGGAAUAAUAAAAUAGGACGGCAUGGUUCUAUUUUGUUGGUUUCUAGGAUCACCGUAAUGAUUAAUAGGGAUAGUUGGGGGCAUUAGUAUUCAAUUGUCAGAGGUGAAAUUCUUGGAUUUAUUGAAGACUAACUUCUGCGAAAGCAUUUGCCAAGGAUGUUUUCAUUAAUCAAGAACGAAAGUUAGGGGAUCGAAGACGAUCAGAUACCGUCGUAGUCUUAACCAUAAACUAUGCCGACUAGGGAUCGGACGAUGUUAAUUUUUUAAUGACUCGUUCGGCGCCUUACGGGAAAC
rnacentral:rRNA from 1 species